UUACGGCCAUAUCACAUUUAAACAUCGGUUCUCGUCUGAUCACUAAAGUUAAGCAAAGUCGAGCUUGGUCAGUAGCUAGAUGGGUAACCGUUUGCGAAUAACAUGUGUUGUAAG